UGCAGCCGCUUGCGGGUGGCCUGGCUGCUCUCCCCGUCUCAGCCCAAACACCACCAGUCGCCGAGCUGCGCUUUCCGCCGGCCUCCCUGAGCGUCCCGCCGUCGCCGGGGGCCAGGCCUGGCGCAGGACCAAUGUGGCGCAGCCCUGCUGUUGCUGGGGGGCGCCGGAGGCCUCCGUCCCUUGCCCAGGCUUCUGGCUCUCCAGGCUGCCUCCCUUCCGCCCACGCUCCAGGGCUUCCCCGGCUCCCGAGCUCCGAGCUUCCACCACAUCGGCCGGCUCAGGACAGAACCCAGAGUUGAUCUCUGCAGCAUGCCAUCACUGCUGGGGAUGAGGAAACGGUGAUUUCAGGACUGUUUUUUCUGUCUCUUCAGUGCCUCUUUCAGUGAUCUCAGGUUAAAACCAGACUAUGGAGGAUUCAUCACCAGACCAGGAAGCAACAGCCUGGGCUCCAGAGUUGGCCAGCAGUCCAUGCACAGACGAGGAGAGGUCCCAUGAACCUUCAGCGUGGUCUGGGAACCGAGCUCUUUUUGUAACAAGUUGUUUGUCAUGAGGCCCAGUCCUGAAGGCCCUUCGUGACUGGGC
rnacentral:lncRNA from 1 species